CUUCAUAUGUUCUGUGUAUUUGCAUAGUUUGAAUUUGGCUCCGUUUUGUUGUUUGAGACAGGAUCCCCCACUAUAUAGCCCAGGCUAGCCUAGAACUUAACGACUCCUCUGCUUCGCCUCCUGAGCACUGGGAGUACAAACCACAACUUCUGACAUUCUUUUGGGUUGAGGAUACACCUGACAUCGUUUUGACAGGAAGUAGACAAUGGCUUUGUGGCUAUUUUCCUUGCAAGCAGUUGGCUCCUCUUCCUGUAACUGGUUCCUCUUUAAAUUAUCUCUCUCUCUGUAUCCCUCCCUCCGUGUGUGUGUGUGUGUGUGUGUGUGUGUGUGUGUGUGUGUGUGUGUGUAUGUGUGUGUGUGUUCCCUCUUUUGCCUUUUGUCUCCUAGGAUUUAUUUGUAUAUUCUUUCUGCUGCCUCCUCCCCACCCCCAGCCCUGUCCCUCGGGCCUCUGCCUCCUCUCCUAGAGCUCGGGUCCCUUGCCUCACCGUGUCUGCUCAUCCAUCUUCUUGCCCCCUUCAUCCCUUUCUCCUCCCUGUCUGCCUCAUGCCUCUGCUGGAUCACUUAACAGCUUCCUUACAGCUUCUGCUACCUCCGAGUUCCUAGAGAGGCAAGUCAGUACUGGUGUGAUGUGGCCCACAGCAGACAGACACGCUGGACUCAGCCUUCGCCACUGGCAUGGGCUCAUCAGCAAAGGUCUUAAGCACGCAUGUGGUUUUUUAAGGUAGCUAAUGCCCGGGUCAGCAAGUGUUUCCAGUUUCCUGGCAGCCCAUUGGAAGCUCAGAAAUGAACUCAUACAAGAACCACUGAAGUGGAAUUUUAGAAAAUCAGGAACUCUUCCAUCACACAUGGAUUCGAGUCCCUAUUCUGUUACUUAUUAACCCAUGACCUUGGACGAAUCCAUUCAUUUAACAGAUACGUAGUGAAUAUGUAUAUCUGUGCCUGUGUUUAGCUCUCAGGGAGGCUGUUAGCCCUCUGACUCCUCCUCCUGUAUUCACAAUGAAUUUAGAUAAAAGGUAUAAGAGUAGAGAUCUUGCUUAGCGGUGAGUGCUUGCCCGACCUUCACCAGCAAUGGAGAGAAAAAGGAUUAUAGGAAUAAGAUGCAGAAAUCAAAUUAUUAGCGUUAUCAGCUAACACAAAAAGCUUGACUGGAGGAUCCAGCUUUCAGCGACUGCAGGCUCACUACUUCUAAGUUAGAUUGUAGAGCUUCUUAGUGUUCCCGCUUUGGGUCUGUUCUCUAUUCUACACCCUGUCAAGUGUAGAGGAUAGAUGGAUGUUAAAGACAGACAAACAAGCUCAGUUUGGAAAGGAAAAGAAAAGAAGAGAAGAGAAAAGAAGGAAAGGAAGGGAGAAAGGAAAGGAAAGGAAAGGAAAGGAAAGGAAAGGAAAGGAAAGGAAAGGAAAGGAAAGGAGGAAGGAGGGAGGGAGGGAGGGAGGGAGGAAGGAAAGGGAGGGAGGAAGGAAAGGGAGGGAGGAAGGAAAGGGAGGGAGGAAGGAAAGGGAGGGAGGAAGGAAAGGGAGGAAGAAAGAAAGAAAGCUAGCAAGCAAGCACUUGUGGGUUGGCUAGGCUGACCAGCCACAGUCUAUUUUGAUCAAGAUCCCCCUGCCCCGCCCCGGUGUUGGGAACAGAGCCGGAACACUAAGAAGCGCUGCCGAUAUUAAUCCUAUCUCUUCUGAGAUCUGGGGAGUUCUUUUUGCUCUAGUGAAACAGGAACUGAGCUUUAUACUGGGCCACUGGUUACCAUAGUAAACAAUGUGAGUAUUGCUUGUCUGUUCCCUUACCUGGAAAGUGCAGGUACACAGUCCUCCAGCCAUGAGAGUGAGGCACUGUUUACAAAGAGCGAGCAAGAGCGAGAGAGAUGGACUUCAGUCAGAACCGCUUUGAGUGCCAUUCACCAGGCACAGUGUCUAUCUCUAUUCUCCUUCUGACCCCCUCACUUGGUCAUUUUUCUCCUCCUCCUAUUUUUGUUUUGUUUCUGUAAUCUACAAGUCCUGGUCCUAAGGCUUUUGAUUUCCAUUAAGAACAGCUUGAAUUACUUCAUCCUGCCUAAAUCAUUGCUAAUCCAAUCUCUGUGUUUCAAAACUCAUUACUUGGACAAAGAAGGCACUGGGAACAGUCAAGUAGGCUUUAGAGUUAUGAAACUGGUUGUACCUGAUGUCAGUGGUUGUACCACUGUCUAUAGUGCCUGGCCACAGGCAGGGUGCAUCAUGGGAGAAUGAAGCUCUCUGUUCCUCGCACUCGGUGUCAUUACGUUACCUGGGACAAUACUUGUGCGGUUUCUCCACAAAGAGAGAAUAAUCCAGGUGAGCCUUGAAACUGCAGUCAUGUAAAGCGGCGGGUACGUGUUGAGUUUUAGGAAAGGGCUUUUCAUCCGGGACGUCUGGACGCCAGAAGCCAUGGAACACAAAUGAUGACAUUGGCAUCUGAGAUAAUCACACAUCAGAGAAAGGAAAGAUGAACCAGAGGGAGAGAUGAGCACUGGUAGGAGGCUGCGUGAGUCAGGUGACAGAGACGGGCUGCAUCUGGUAGGGGCAAGAGAAACCUAGAACAAGGAGGGCCACACUGGGGAAGCCCUCUGUCGUCAGAACAGAGUUGGGAGGUUCAUGUAUGAAGGGAAAAGGGAGAGACAAAUUCAGGUAGGACAACUAUUGUUUUUUUCAUUUUUAUUUAUUUUUAUUUCAUGAGCAUUGGUAUUUUGCCUGUACAUAUGUCUGUGUGAAGGUGUCAGGACCUCUGGAACUGGAGUAUAGAGAGUUGUGAGCUGCCAUGUGGGUGCUGGGAAUUGAACCCUGAUCCUCUAGAAUAACCACUAAGCCAUCUCUCCAGCCUGGUAGGACAACUAUUAAGGUGUGAUUUCAUAUGUCUUGGCUGCCAGGUCCCUGUUCCUGCAGGCUCAGAGUCACCGUAGAGAAUGGAACCCAGGAGGGACAUUGCAGCUGACAGAGAGGGGCCUGGCAGACAAUCUGCAGAGACUCCCCUGCAGGGACAAGCUGCCCUUGCUCUGUACACAUUUGCCAGUUGAGAGGCAAGAGAAGGGAACAUAAUAAAAACAAGCCAGUGUGGGGACAAUGGGGGGUGGUGGGGGAACACAUGCUUUCAAGAAUGCCAGAAUAUAACACAUUCUCCUGUCCCCUGCAUAAUUAUAUCUAAAUAUUCAAAUAAAGUGCCUGAGGUCUCAUUUUACUUAAAAAGAAAAGAAAACCCUAAUAAAACCACAUACCUCAUGGGGUGCUGAGCCAGCCAUUUAUUUUGUGAACUGAUGUCCGUUUAGUUUGUUUUGUUUUAACUGCCGUCUUUUGCUUUAAAAGUUGCCUGGGAUGGAGAGAAUUCAGUCUCUGGGAUGGCUGCCCUGUGGUUUAUUUUUAUAGGAUGUUAUUAGAAGUUUCGGAUUUUGAAAGAACAGUCUAAAAGCCGUGACCAGGGAGAGGAUAGCAUGUGCUGUUUCUUGCGGGGUAGAAAAAGGAGUCGAUUUUGUGGCUUUAGAACGGUCAGUACCGUUCUUCUUUCCCUCGUUCUUGUCUAAGUGCUUAAGCGAUCAGUGCUGUUCGUUCCCCUUAAACUCUUUCCUUGCUAGUGAUUAAAAGGGUUUCUGCAUUAGACUGACCAUUGUGGGCCGUGUACGCCUGGCCUGAGGGCUUCCGGGAAUCCUCUCUAUGCCACGUCCCAUUCCCAACGUUAGAUUACAGAUGCCACUGCUGCACCUAACUGCUUACAUGAGUCCUGAGGAUACACACUCGGGUCCUCUCUUCCCCAACUGAGCCAUCUCCACAGCCCCCACUUCAGCCUUUAAAGAGUGUCAGGAAUUGACAUGGGCUGUUUAUCUAAUGGCUUGUUAUAGGAGCUUUCUGUUCAUAUCUCUGAAGGUGCUCGCUGUACAAAGCCUUUGCUUUUACUGAAGUCUUGUGAUUUUUUAAACUGGCCAGCAUCUGUAGAGGGAGUGAGCAAUCUCUCUGCAGGUCCCUGUGAAACAUUUGUGACCUGCUUUGGGCACAGAAGCAUGAGCUGUGCACUGAAUACAUAUCAGUGGGAUGCGUUCUUUGAUAGCUGACUCAUCAUCCCAGGCCCUAGGGCCAAGUACCAGGGUGAUACUGUACACAUUUGAUUCACGUGGUCCUCACGAUGGUUCUGUGAGCUAGUCACCUGCCAUUCUUACUCCAUCAUGUAAAGAUGGGGCAUAGAAGAAGUUUAACUUAGCCCAGAGUUUGAUGGCUAGGUAGCAGAGCCGAGACAGAAACUCGCCCACGGCUGCAGUAUCCAGAUUGUUAUCAUUCAGCCACGCAGACCAUCUCCUCCUGCACAAAUUCCAUAAAAGGUGACAACCGAAAGUGAUGGGCUGGUGGCAGGUGGAGUUGCUACACAGACUUCCACACACUGGCUUAUAGUUGGUGUUGAAUUUAAAGUUCGUGUCUGUCGCACACGUGAGUGCCUUGCUUCUGUUCCCCCUCAUGCCAUCCGCUUCCGUCACUUCUUGCACCCAGAGGGGGCCGCUUCUGUUUCCAGACCCAGCUCUGUUUCCAAACCUCGCACCACGGUGGGCUGCCAGGGAAGGCUGAAUGGGCUUGGACAGCCAUGGAGAUAGGAGUCGUGAGCAACAAUGGGUGAGGGCUGCACGGCCCUUACUCUCCCUGGAAACGCUCUGUCGCUCAGGAAGUGUGGCCUAAUCCCGGUUAAGAUCAUCCCGUUUUAUACCCAAUGGGCUGUCUAAAUCUCAUAGAGGACUUUUACGUCUUACCCUGAGAAAUCCUACCAGUAAGCAGCCGGGUGUACACCGACAUAGGGAUUCUUGUGUAUUAUUGUUGUCUCUACCUCCUCCUCCCCUCACAAGCUAAGCUGCUUAAAGAGAACCCGAGAAGCCACUGCUCAGCGGAAGACGCCUGGACUGUGGCCCAGCGGUGCCUUGGCUGGCCUGGAGGGAGGAGGGAAGACGAAUUCAAUCCAAAAAGGCCCCGUAGAGCUGGAAAGAACAGCGGCUGUGCAGAUGCCACAGGGCUCGUCCUCUGAGCUCGCAGGCCCAUCUUUGGUAGCUGUGAGGCAGCUGCAAGCCGAGAAGCUACAGAACAGAGCGUACGUGUGGGACUGGCAGUGCUGGAGAGUGGUCAGGCUGCGCCCAGUUCAUCUGCACUGUGCCCCAGUGGGGAGGGAUGCUUGACUCUAGAGGCAGGCAAAGUGACAGCUUCACGACACACAGGCGCACAGGUGGGAAGCGGCUGAGCCAGGCACGAAGCAGUUGACUCCAAAGUGUUCUCACCGCUUUCCUCCCUAGCACAUCAACACUUGAGAUGCUCACCAAGAACCAGGGAACUCCAUAUAGAAAUUAGGAACCCUAGAGGUGUAGAGUUCUCACAGUGGCUGGGAAUCUCUUUUUAAAGAACCUUUGGUAUUUGGUCAGGCAAGUUCUUUCCCAAAUUGCUUGUUGGGUUCAUUUAAACCUGCUGCCCAUGCCCAUAAGAUCUGCUCGGACAGGGCCUCACUCUGUGCUGACAGACUGAGCAGUCCACCUCAGAGAGGACCUGCCCACCUCACCCCCAAAGUCCAAGGCUGUGAUGCCAGGCGUGGGCAGCAAAUCCCCUCCCUCAUGCUCUUAGAAGGGGCAGGAUAGACACCAGAAGCUACGGAAGUAGUUGAGUGGCUGAGUAGAACGAGACACCCCAUCUUCUUAAUGCUAUUUUACAUCCUGUCUGUCCAUGCUCUCUGAAAGCCAUCACCUUUCAAAAAGCAUUGUGGGUAAUUAUGGAGCAAGCUUUGAGGUCUUGGGAUAAGCGUCUCUUCCAGCAGUACUUGCUUUCUAACAGGCAAGGAAUCUACCUGUCAUGGGGGAAGGUUCCUGGCUGAAAUGUCUCUGUUGUUGAGUAUGCAGGGUGGUCAGCUAGACUAUCUGCUGCCUCAGUGGGGCUGAACAGAAGACAAAUGUCCCUCUGUACCCACUCAUGGUGGCUUGGGUGAUUGGUGGCCCUCACACACAGAUCCAUGAUAGGCAGAGAAAUAUCCCUGGACCACUAGGGGGAGGGGCUUCUGUAUCUAAGAAUCCAGGCAACCAGAGCCCUUGUCUUCACAUUCCCAUCAGUCCAAUGGCUGAGGAGGCAGGCCUACGGACUAAACUUACAUAUUUUACAAUCAUAGGAUGGGAACAAUUUUGUGUGUGUGUGUUUUAUCAGUGUUCUUAUGUAUCCUUUUGUCAUAGAAUUAAGGAAUCUGAUAUUCCUCUAUAAAAAUUUUUAAGCUUCCUAAAAUACAAAAUUAGCUUGCACAUAGACUAUUUAAGGAAAACUGCAAGCUGAUUUUUCAGUCCAGCAAGAUAAAAAUGGAAUGCAUAAAAUAAAAAUAUUAAAAAAGGAAGCGUCAUGGGGGAGGUAUCCCCUACCUGCUUACCAGAGGGCUUCAACAGAAGCCAGGAGUUGCCUAAUUAUUUUGAAUUCAAGCCAGUUCUUCUUGUCUAGAAAGGUAUUCCCUCUUCUCUUUAACAAUGGUAACUGUUGCAUUGUUGGCUCUGCAGAAAGGUUUUACUGCUCCUUGUGGUUGAUCGUGACUGCCCGCUGACCUUGAUUGGGAAAUACCGGGGAGAGUGUGGGUGCAAACCUCUGUAUUCCUUUCUGAGAGUGUCCGCAGAGACAGUUAAGAAUGAGGAGUCUGAUCUAAUGACUGGAUGACUACCUCACCAGGUAAUCGUUGGAGGCUUUAUUGGGGGUGGAUAGAAAUUGGGAGGUAGGGCCAUCGUUAAAGGAAGUGGGUCACAGAGGAAUGCUGCGCUCUGAGGCCUUUCGUGCCCCAACUCCUCACUCUGUCCCCUUUUUCUCUGCCAGUGGAAAGUGUAUCUUCCCUGCCGUGAGUGGGUGGAUCCUUCCGAACCAUGAGGAAAAUAAAUCCCUCCUCCUUUCAGUAGUUUGUUACAAGUGUGCAAAAGCAGCCAACAGCCAUCAGUCUAACUCCAGUAGCAUGCUCUUUCCACCUCUGAUUUUUCUGUUCAAGCUCUAAUACUCUCAUAGCAGUGGUCAGACUUUCGCCUUCUAUUAGAUGUCCACUGAUACUCUGCCCUGGCCCCUGCCUUCCCUUCACACUGCUUCCAGAUAGUGUGGGAUUUGGUUGGCAGCCUAAGGUGGGCCAGUGUGAGGGGGAGAUGAGCCCAGACUCUGCCUUUGUGUCUUUGGUAUGACCUCAGCUCACUCAUGGAUGAGCUGGGUGAUGAGUGCGCAUGCCCAUGAGUUUCUCUGUCCUUUCUGCUCUUUCUCUGAAACAUGAAAGUAACCUCACAGAGCACUGUAAGAUUCCAGUGAGGUUCAGGGCCCUCUCUUACCCAAGCUUUCACUUUUUGAGAUUUCAAUAUUCAUGAUAAGCUACAGUCUGAAAAUAUUAAAUGGAAGAUUCUAAAAGCACAGAAUGUAUAAAUUUCUUGAAGUCUUGAGUAGUGUGAGAAAUUUUGGCUUUUUCCUCUCCUGUUCCUCCUGUGAUGUGAAUCUUUCCCUUGUCCAGCAGACAUACCCAUUCUGUGGAUGCUACCUACAUCAGUCACUUGGAAGCCUUCUUUGUUAUCAGACUGACAGUUACAGGAUCACUGUGCUUAUGUUUAAGUAACUCUUAUUUUAUUCAAAAAUGGCCUUAAAGAUCAAAAGUAGUCAGUCAUGCUGGCAAUUUGGAUAUGCCAACGAAAAUCCAUAAGGUGCUUCCUGUAGGGCUGGAGAGAUGGCUUUGUGGUUAAAAUCACUGACUGCUCUUCCGGAGGUCAUGAGUUCAAAUCCCAGCAGUCAUAUGGUGGCUCACAAGCAUCCAUAAUGAGAGACAAGUAAAAAUCUAUGGGCCAGAGCGAGCGGGGCUGGAGCAAGAGGGAGAAGGGAAAGGGGGAAAAAAGUGCUUCCUGUACAUGAAAUGAUAAAAGUCAUUGAUUUUAAAAAAAGAAAAAAUCAUAUCCUGAGGUUGCCAAGAUCUGCAGUAUAUUUUUUUAUAAUUAUUUUAUUUAAUUUAUUAGUUAUUCCCAUAUUGUGCCUUGUAUAUAAUUUAGAUUUUUCAUGGUAUGUGAGGGAAACAUAGUCUCUGUAGGGUUUGGUGUACUCUUGACAUGAAGCAUCUACUAAGGGUAGAUCGUAUCCCAUGGGAAUUAUUAUUGUGCAGGAUGUAUAAUUAUAUUAAAAUGCCUACCAAAGACUGAGUGCUCUAAAUGAGCACCUCUGGCUGGCCGUGCAUCAGGAAGUCCUACCUUAUACAAAGUGUGAGGAAGGCGUAAGGACAAACACUGGAUCCAUAGGCUUCAUAGAACUCGCUGAAAAUGCCUUUGGUGCAUUUGCGCAGAGAACAGAGAACUACAGGAUUCCCUUUCCUUAACUGAUAGCAGAAGCUGCCAGGAGGCCCAGAAGCUGUGCUGCACCCAGCGAUGGUCUCACUCUGUUUGUUCCCUGUAAGUCUUUAUUUUAUUCUAGUCCUUGGGUUAGCAAAGCAAUUGCAGGAAAUUAAAACGUAGCAGUGUGGGCACUGGCAACUUCUUAGCUCCUUUACCUACUUUAUGCUCACAGAUGGAGAAACACCUUUAGCAAGUUCUCAGGUCUCUCCAGGCCCUUGGCUUUUCUUUUUUUCUUUUUCCUUUUCUUUUUUAUUUUGGUUGGGUUUUUAUGUUUGUUUGCAGGGGAGCAUUUUUUUGUGACAGACAGGGUUUCUCUGUACAGCUCACUCUGUAGACUAGGCAGCAAUGAGAAUUCAGAUGGCUGUGAGCCAUCAUGUAGCCACUAUGAUUUGAACCGGAGUCCUUUGGAUCCACAGUCAGUGCUCUUUCCCGCUGAGCCAUUGCUCAGACACUCUCCAGGCCCUUGUGUGUAUCUUGUUACUUCUUAUCUACCUUCUGGGAUUGUAACUUUUGUGAGAACAAGUCUUUUGUUCACCAAUUCAUGCAUCCUGAAUGCUAUAGCAGAGACUGCCACGCUGCCUUUGCUUAAUAAAAAAGUUCUUGAAUGGGUGAAUCUGUAAAUGGGGAAGCUGAGACAUGGAACAGGUAAAGAUAUUAUCCCAGGUCACAUUUCCAUUCAAUAGCCAAUCCAGGGCAGCAUGAUUGCCAAGCCCUAGCCGUAAGCACCCAUAGUAUUUAACAUCUUUUUGAAACAAUUAGGUAUAUGAUAGGUUUACCCAUUUACAUAGUAUAAUAUUAUAUAUAUAUAAUGACCGAGUAUUUUAAUUUCCAUGUGCUGGAAAAUGAUAAAUCAAGCUCUCCUGUGGUUAUUUUUAAAUAUAUACUUGCUGUCUGCUGUAAUUAUCCCUUUGUGCUGUUUUACAUCAGAACUAACCUCCCCCCUCCCCCAUAAAACUGUGUUUUGUUACAUGUUACCCUCUGCCCCUGCUCUCUCCCUGGUCUCCAGUGACCCCGGUUCUACACCACCCCGGUUCUAGACCACCCCGGUUCUACACCACCCCGUGUAAUCAGCUUUCUUAGCUUUCACACAUGACCCAGAAUGUGCAGUAUCUGUCGUCCUGAACCUGGUUUAUUUUACUUAACGUAUCACCCUCCAGUAACAUCUAUGUUGCCACACAUUAGAGGACUUCCUCCUUCUUAUGGCUGUCCCUCAGCCCCGUAAUGGACUGUGGAUACACGGUGAGUAGGGAAUCCUGUCUGAGCAGGCGCAGUCAAUGAUGGCUUAUCAGUUUGGGAACCUAGCAACUAGACAAGAUCUCACAGGCCUGGAGUCUCCAGUAGCUCAGUUAAGUUGUGAACAGUGCUUUUAAAUUGCCAACUAGAACAUGCAGGUAACUCACUGAGGAGCCAAUACCUUUAAAACAUUGGUACAGCAGCUUCGAUGAAGUCUGUGACAUGCCUACCUUUCCACGUGGCUUAAAAGGACAUGGACAUCAUGUCUGGGUAAAGAGAGAUGGAAAAGUGACAGAGAGGAAGCAACAGACGUAGAGAAUGAGGUCGACCCUAAGUGAAACCCACAGCUUCCUUCCCCUUCCAUCAGUUCAAUUCCAUUUCUAAAGUCAGGAGGAAUCAGCAGGUAUGAAUUACAUGGAGAAAAUGAAGGCAGCCGGCCGGGCUACAGCGGAACACAGAUGUCAAGUGCAGAAACGCGAGGUGAGCAUACUUAUGCACAGACUGGGAGCUCGGUGCACGCAGUAACGACGGGCGUGUCAGCAGCAGGCCAGAAGAGACCCUGAGGAUGACAAGCUGACUCAAGUGUUUAGGAUUUAUUUGGUCAUUUCAUAUUGGUCCUGAUAUGUAGAUGUUCCUGUCUGUUACCACUCAGAUGACUAAACAUAAAAGAGAAGAAGAAAUACAAGGUACUACAAUAUGAGCCAAGUUCAUGCGUCACCCCAUCUGCUACACAGCCCUCUCCUGCCUGCUCUCCACAGGACUGACUGCAUACUCGCUCCACACUGCCCUUCCGCAGGCUUUAUCCCCGCCUUGCUGGCGCACGUUGUCCAGAUCAUCCACCCUGCUGUGGUACCUUCCUCCCUGACUGUCUCGUGCGCCUGUUUCCAUUUUCUGGUGUGUCUGUGUGGCUGCUUUUGCCUUCCUCAUCUGUCUAAGGCCUUUUUCUUAUUUUCUCUGUACACCUGGGACACUUGCCACAUCUCCUUUUACAGUGGAGUCUCUAUUUCCGCCUUCUCCUUCCUGUAAAAUGGGCCAGUGCUUUGGCCCUCCCUGAGGAAGCCCCGCCGCCACAGUGUUAGCAUCCUCAUAGCAAAACACCCUCUAUUCUGACUGGCUGUAUAUAAAGAAUUUAGGGAAAUGCUACCGAGAAUUCUAAAGCUGUUGGAAAUUUAAUGAAACAGCCACAGAAAAGAGAGGGACAAAGUGGAGCUGAGUAGGUGGAGCCAGUAGAUGGAGCCACGCCCAUGGGCACAGGGCUGCUUACUGCGGACACUGUGCUGGACAGUAGAUACUGUGGCUGCCAUUACCGACAGUGGUGCUGACCUCGGUCGCAGCACCUUUGCUACAAGAACAGAUAAUCCUCUAGCCACUGACUCCUAAUUAGAUGGAGGCAGACAUCUGACCGAGUGACUGGCCUAUCUACCAACUGCAAAAGGGGCCUAGGAAGGGCUAUCCUGUGCUAUGAGAAAUGGAGUCGGUCUGCUACCAGAAUCAGAUUUUAGAAUCAAGAUACAACUUUGUUUAUUGAAACAGGGUCUCCCUAUGUAGCCCCAGCUGCCCCUGAAACUUGCUGUGUAGACCAGGCGGGCCUUGAGCUCCCAGGGAUAUGAUUGAUAUACUUGCCUCUGCCUCCCGAGAGCUGAGACUAAAGGCAUGCAGCACCACAUCUGGCCUCUCCAGCUGUUGUUAACGUGGUGACCAACUUCACUCCUGUGUCUCCUGAUCUCAAAAUCCACACGAGCAUGCCUGCUCCUGCCACCUCCCUGUCCAGCUUUCUGCAGAGUGUGACAGAGUUCAACAGAACCCAUGACCUCCAAUAGCCUCCUGCCCGAGACAGCUCAGUUUUGACAGAGGACUUGCUCCAGGUCUCUGGCUCAAUCCUUGCUCCUAAGAGCGCAACAGAACCUUCCCCACAGCUGUGUCCCCAAGGCUCCUGGGCUCCCGAUGUCUCUCUAGCCUCCUCCUCUACCAGCAAGAGACUCCAGAAAGUGACUUCCAGGCCAUCUUUGCAGGCUCUGCUUCUCUGCCUCAUCCCCUAAGAAUGAAGCCUUUGCAGUCUUCCAGACUCACCUUCACAUGCCCUGGUCUGGAUCCACCCAAACCGCAUGUCUCUGACCCAUAACUAACAUGGCACCCCAAAGGUCUCAACUCCAGCUUCAGCAUCGGGGGGAUUCCUGCUGGGCUGGGAGUUAAGUUCAAACUAAUAAAGUUAAGCAUGUCCUAACACAUGCAUGCAGGUGUUAUGUUUCAGUCAAUGGGACUUGACCUGUGUACAGAACAACAAACCUUGGUGACUGUCCUGGGUCCUUGGUGCAUCUACUCUCACGACUCCGCAUUUGUAGCGGGUUGGCCCCUUCCUGUUUCUUAGACCUAUGGCGUACAUUACCUUGGUGCAUUUCUUACACAUCUGGCUUUCAAGUGUAUUAUUCACCCAGCAGAUGCACAUUGAACACCUAACGGUCGGCACUGCCAAUGGUCAGAGGCCAGACAGGAAGUCAAAAUAAAGGACUAUGACAGUUAGAAUGCUUUUUAUUGCUAGUGACAGAAAUUGUGUUUAAAACUGGCUUAAGCAAAGAUAGACUGCAUCCCCUCACGUGCCUGGCAAGUCUACAGAAAGAUCUGCAUCCCUUCAGACACAGCUGGAUUUGUGGAUCUUAAGCCUUGUCUUCAAAGGGACCCUAGCCUGGCGUCAUCUCUCAGCUCUGCUUGCCUUUGCAGUGGCUCGAUUCUCAAGUUCCCCUCAUGGCAGCAAGCCAGAUGACAAGAGUUCCAGGUCCACACCCUUCUGGCUUCCAGACAGUAGAGAAAGCCCUGCUCCAACCAGCCUCUCGCCUGUCUAUGGCAGAGACUCUCUCACCAGCACCCAGUCCUUUACUCCUGUGGAGCAUCAGCCAGAUGUUGAGGUGAACACACGCGGACAUGGAUGCCAUUUUUUUUAAAACAACAUAUUAAACAUGUUUUGUGUUACUGAAGUUCCAGCAAGCUGUAACUUUGGUUUUCUUCUACGCCGUUUCAAAGAAGAUUGAGGAAUUAAUAUAGUAGUUGUUACCUGGACCAACGUGGCAGUGCUUGAGAUCCUUCUUGGUUGCCUUGACAACCGGAGUCUUGUGGACAGAGGCCAAGGAAUCAGCUGACCAUCCUGUGAUGUACAGGGCUGGCCUACAACUGGGGGGCGGGGCACUUUAAAGCCAGGAAAGGAAUCAGAGUGAGUCUGUAGGUAUCAAACAAACUGGUAGGUAGAGGCAAACUGGAGUUUACGGACUGAUUUCCCCAUUUUUAAGAUAAGAGGAUAACUAAAUAGAAACGUAGCCUGAAGCCAUAUAAGCUUUCUAGCAGCAAUCAAGCAGAUUGCCUUCUUAUCUCUGCGAGUAAUAAUUACAGCAUUCUAUAUGUUGUGUUUGGUGUGAGCCACAAGCCAUGGUGUGUGGUUAACGAAUAGCGUUGGUGAGAUUUACUGCUGUAGCCCAGUCUUGGGUUGGCUGCAGCCUGUGGGCCUCCUCUACCCACCUUAGGCCUGUGCACUCUGCUGCUUUGAGGGUCUGUUAAUGUAAAGGAGAUAAAAGGCUGGACUCUGGCUCCACUCAGUCACUGCUAACCUGGGAGACAUCCUAAAUGAAAAGUUCCCCAUGAGAGACAGAAACCACUUAAAUUAUAGGAAGAAUACUUCAGAAGGCUACGAAAAGAUGGAUCCAACCUGAGACUAAGCGGAGCUCUGUGAGUGGUCUUUAGACACUCAUACUUGAGGAAGGAUUGGAGCUUGGCACAAUGACUUUUAUCAAACUCUUGCUCACUUUGCCAUGUUUGCCCAGAGCCAAGCUGUCUGUCUGUGUGAGAACCCCUGCUGUGCAUAGCACAGGCCGUUCAACCCUGUGUCUAAAGACCCGUCCUCCUGGAAGAGUCUGUGAUGUUUUAUGGAUAUGGUUUUUGGAAGGAUCAUGUAACGUUGUUCAUGAUGCUAAUAGGCAUGUGUAGACAACGACAAGCCUCCUGUUUUGUAGCUGUGAAGUAAAAUGAUUUAUUGGGUUUUACUAAUUCAGUCAUUAUGAGCAUAUGAGAAAGAUAUUGUAUUAAAUACUUUUUCUCAAGCAAUAAUAAAUUAUCUUGCAAAUAAGUCUGUGAAUAAGAUUCCUCCCAUUUCUUCAAAGACCAAUAAACAUUUCUGCAGUUGUUCUGUGAUUGGGACUGUUAUUUCUCUUGUUAGAUUAGUCAGCCAGUUUAUUUAAAAUUGGUGGCUUCCUGUAGAUAUUAGCAGAAUUCCAGAAAUACUAAAGCUCUUCUGUGUUAUAGGCACAGAUUCAGUCCUGUUGAGUAAAACAAAAACAAACAAACAAACAAACAACAAAACCUUCAUUCAGGUGGCAGCCUUCCUUCCAAAUGUCCUAUUUGUUGGGUUGGAGCCCCAGAGAUACUACACCAUAGUUGAAAGCCCUUUCUCCUACAUUAAGAACAUAAUUAGAAGAAAGAAAGCUGAAUGGGUCAUAGUUUGUUUUGUUUUCUGCUUUUCUCUGUAUUGUGGGACACUGAAGGUUCACGGGGCUCAGAGAAGAGUAAAACACCCCACGCAGCGAGAACUGAGUAAAUCACCAACCACUGUGGUAGACGUUUGAAGUAAAAUUCUCAUGGUGCUGGAGAGAUGUCAUAGCAGGUAAAUGCCUGCUGUACAGCAUGAAGCCCUGAGUAUGGAUCCCCAGUACCUACUGAAAAGCUACAGGAGUCUGGAGCCCUGCAUGGGUGGGUGGAGAGAGACAGAUGUGGGACUCCAGAGCUAGCCAGCCAGUUAACCAAAAUGGCGAGCCCCAGAUUUGAUGAGAGACCCCGUCUCAAAAUAUAAAGUAGGAAACAGUAAAAGGAGACUCCCGGUGUUAACAUCUGGCCUCUAGCCUCUACAUAUACACACAUGAUUGAGCAUAACCCCACGGAGAGGGAGAGACAA